CCAGUUUUGGCGGUGGUGGUGCUGGUGCUCCUAUGAUGGUAGACUCGUCUGAUUCCCCUAGCUGCAUCCAUGGUGAUGAAGCUCGGCCUAGGCUAGAACCCCCUCCAGUGAGCUCCUCAAGUCCUCUUAUACCCCUCCUACUUGCUUGUUGGUUCUAUGCUCUGCCUUUGUGAGGUGUAAUUGUUCAAUUUUGUUCAUAGUUGAGCAUUGGAUGAUAUUGUAUUUGUCAUGAUGUACAUGGUUCAUGAACUAUGCCAACCUGCAGCUUUGUUGUACUAGUGAUAGUAGGAUAAUGCAAGUUUUGACAAUCCAUGCAUAUUUCCGCAUCAUAAUAAUCUUCUUCUUCUAGUCUUCUUCUUCUAACUUUCUUCUUUCCUAUUUUACAGAUUUACUUAAGAUCACGGAAGUUUGGAUUGAUGGAGUGCUUGUAUUUAGUUUUUGUUUUGACCUUGUGAAACUUGCUACCUAUGGAUGAAACUGUGUAAUAUUGAUGAAACUAUGUAUAUGUACGGAUGAAACUUGCUACUAUUGGUAACAUGUGUUGGAUAUAUAUGUGUUCAUGACUAUUGGUAAUAUGUGCUGAAU
rnacentral:lncRNA from 1 species